rnacentral:rRNA from 1 species
UACGUAGGGGGCUAGCGUUGUCCGGAUUUAUUGGGCGUAAAGAGCGUGUAGGCGGCCAGAUAGGUCUGCUGUGAAAACUCGAGGCUCAACCUCGAGAUGUCGGCGGAAACCAUUUGGCUAGAGUCCGGAAGAGGAAAGUGGAAUUCCCAGUGUAGAGGUGAAAUUCGUAGAUAUUGGGAAGAACACCGAUGGCGAAGGCAGCCAUCUGGACCGACACUGACGCUGAGGCGCGAAAGCGUGGGGAGCAAACAGG